AGAGUUUGAUCCUGGCUCAGGACGAACGCUGGCGGCGUGCCUAAUACAUGCAAGUCGAGCGAAUCUUGGGAGCUUGCUCCCAUUGGUUAGCGGCGGACGGGUGAGUAACACGUGGGCAACCUGCCUGUAAGACUGGGAUAACUUCGGGAAACCGGAGCUAAUACCGGAUAAUCCAUUUCCUCUCAUGAGGAAAUGUUGAAAGUCGGUUUCGGCUGACACUUACAGAUGGGCCCGCGGCGCAUUAGCUAGUUGGUGAGGUAACGGCUCACCAAGGCGACGAUGCGUAGCCGACCUGAGAGGGUGAUCGGCCACACUGGGACUGAGACACGGCCCAGACUCCUACGGGAGGCAGCAGUAGGGAAUCUUCCACAAUGGACGAAAGUCUGAUGGAGCAACGCCGCGUGAGCGAUGAAGGCCUUCGGGUCGUAAAGCUCUGUUGUUAGGGAAGAACAAGUACCGGAGUAACUGCCGGUACCUUGACGGUACCUAACCAGAAAGCCACGGCUAACUACGUGCCAGCAGCCGCGGUAAUACGUAGGUGGCAAGCGUUGUCCGGAAUUAUUGGGCGUAAAGCGCGCGCAGGCGGUCCUUUAAGUCUGAUGUGAAAGCCCACGGCUCAACCGUGGAGGGUCAUUGGAAACUGGGGGACUUGAGUGCAGAAGAGGAAAGCGGAAUUCCACGUGUAGCGGUGAAAUGCGUAGAGAUGUGGAGGAACACCAGUUGGCGAAGGCGGCUUUCUGGUCUGUAACUGACGCUGAGGCGCGAAAGCGUGGGGGAGCAAACAGGAUUAGAUACCCUGGUAGUCCACGCCGUAAACGAUGAGUGCUAAGUGUUAGGGGGUUUCCGCCCCUUAGUGCUGCAGCUAACGCAUUAAGCACUCCGCCUGGGGAGUACGGCCGCAAGGCUGAAACUCAAAGGAAUUGACGG
rnacentral:rRNA from 1 species